CCUACGGGUGGCAGCAGUGGGGGAUAUUGCACAAUGGGGGGAACCCUGAUGCAGCGACGCCGCGUGGGUGAAGAAGCGCCUCGGCGCGUAAAGCCCUGUCAGCAGGGAAGAAAAUGACGGUACCUGAAGAAGAAGCCCCGGCUAACUACGUGCAAGCAGCCGCGGUAAUACGGAGGGGGCAGGCGUUAUCCGGAUUUACUGGGUGUAAAGGGGGCGCAGACGGCGAUGCAAGCCAGAGGUGAAAGCCCGGGGCCCAACCCCGGGACUGCUCUUGGAACUGCGGGGCUAGAGUGCAGGUGGGGCAGGCGGAAUUCCUGGUGUAGCGGUGAAAUGCGUAGAGAUCAGGAGGAACACCGGUGGCGAAGGCGGCCUGCUGGACUGCAACUGACGUUGAGGCCCGAAAGCGUGGGGAGCAAACAGGAUUAGAUACCCGGGUAGUC
rnacentral:rRNA from 1 species